rnacentral:rRNA from 1 species
GACGAACGCUGGCGGCGUGCUUAACACAUGCAAGUCGAACGAAGUGGAGAACGGGUGAGUAACGCGUAAUCAACCUGCCCUUCAGAGGGGGACAACAGUUGGAAACGAAUGCUAAUACCGCAUACGGAAGGAGGAGCUUGCGUCUGAUUAGCUAGUGGGAGGGGUAACGGCCCAACAAGGCGAUGAUCAGUAGCCGGUCUGGUGGGCUGAACGGCCACAUUGGGACUGAGACACGGCCCAGAUUCCUACGGGAGGCAGCAGUGGGGAAUCUUCCGCAAUGGACGAAAGUCUGACGGAGCAACGCCGCGUGAGUGAUGACUGCCUUCGGGUUGUAAAGCUCUGUUAAUCGGGACGCGGUACCGGAAUAGAAAGCCACGGCUAACUACGUGCCAGCAGCCGCGGUAAUAC